rnacentral:rRNA from 1 species
CCUACGGGAGGCAGCAGUAGGGAAUCUUUCACAAUGGGCGAAAGCCUGAUGGAGCAACGCCGCGUGCAGGAUGAAGGCCUUCGGGUUGUAAACUGCUUUUAUAAGCGAGAAAUAUGAUGGUAACUUAUGAAUAAGGAUCGGCUAACUACGUGCCAGCAGCCGCGGUCAUACGUAGGAUCCGAGCAUUAUCCGGAGUGACUGGGUGUAAAGAGUUGCGUAGGUGGCAUAAUAAGUAGCUAGUGAAAUCUGGUGGCUCAACCAUUCAGACUAUUAGCUAAACUGUUAAGCUCGAGACCGUUAGGGGUAACUGGAAUUUCUAGUGUAGGAGUGAAAUCCGUAGAUAUUAGAAGGAACACCAAUAGCGUAGGCAGGUUGCUGGGACGGUUCUGACUCUAAGGCACGAAAGCGUAGGGAGCAAACGGGAUUAGAUACCCCAGUAGUC